rnacentral:rRNA from 1 species
GACAGAGGGUGCAAACGUUGUUCGGAAUUACUGGGCGUAAAGCGCGUGUAGGCGGCCCUGCAAGUCGGGUGUGAAAUCCCACGGCUCAACCGUGGAAGUGCACUCGAAACUGCAGGGCUAGAGUCCUGGAGAGGAAGGUGGAAUGCUUGGUGUAGAGGUGAAAUUCGUAGAUAUUCGGAAGAACACCAGUGGCGAAGGCGACUUACUGGACACAUAUUGACGCUGAGGUGCGAAAGCGUGGGGAGCAAACAGG